rnacentral:rRNA from 1 species
CUCCUCCUACGGGAGGCAGCAGUAGGGAAUCUUCCACAAUGGACGAAAGUCUGAUGGAGCAACGCCGCGUGAGUGAAGAAGGGUUUCGGCUCGUAAAGCCCUGUUGGUAGUGGAGAAAGAUAGAGGUAGUAACUGGCCUUUAUUUGACGGUAAUUACUUAGAAAGUCACGGCUAAAUACGUGCCAGCAGCCGCGGUAAUACGUAGGUGGCAAGCGUUUUCCGGGUUUAUUGGGCGUAAAGCGAGUGCAGGCGGUUCAA